CACAGUUAAGGUCUGUUGAGAGGAGGGAAGGGGUGUCACAUAUCCUCAAGACUUGAAGAGAAAAGACUUGUUGUGCUCUCAGAGAAACCAUGUGCUGGCUACCGAACGACCAGCCGCUGCUCCUACCCGGAGCCUCCGCCUGCGGCGCCCGCCGCCCCUCGCCGUGCUCGGUGGCUCAGCUGCUGGCGUCGCGCCUGCGGAGGAUCGGGGACCAGCUGGAGAAGAGCUGGACGGCCGGGGACCCGGGGAGCGGCUCCGGAACCGGCUGCGGGGGCCGCGCGGAGCCGCUGGCGGCCGGGCGGGGCCAUCUGAAGAGCUUCCUGUGCACUGCGCUGCACUUGACCGUGCUCGUGCUGGUGGUCGCGAGGCGACACCUGUAGGGCGCGAGGCGGGAGGCGGCGACAGCAGCAACAGGUGGAUCCUUUUAGGACCAUGCACGAGGAAAGGGCUCACAUCAUUUGCACUACAAUCGAGGGAUGCAGGAGUCAGGAGGCUGCGGUCCAGGAUGGGAGGUGUGCAGCGAGGGAAGGACCGAGAGAGGAGGAAGAGGAGGAGGAGGAGGAUUUAAAUCAGCCUUUCGGGGCCUUAACUUUGAGCCUGAAACUCUUUACGCCACAAAGACUUCCGUCAGGCCCGAUGCAACACUGAACCCUGCAGUCAGCCCCCCCCCCCCUCCCACCGGUUACAAAACGGUGAUGUAAUCCUCCCCUGGUACCCUGGUAGAGCGGAGGGAAAAGCUUAGGAAUAGGACUCCCUUUGAAUCACCUCCCACCAUGCGAGUGCAGCCAUGGCCGACGGGGUUAGACUGAUUAGACCUUUAAAUGCACUACGCUUCAUAAUGCACUGGGCCGUUUUACAUAAGCUAUGCCGUGGAAAUACUGAGAGGAGGGUUGUUUUUAUAGGUGUGCUCUACAGUGUUUAGACACAUGCUCGUGUGCUUUAGCAUCAUCUGUUCCUUUAGUGUGUUUUCAUCAGAUGCAGGACCUGCGCAUCGGGAGUUAUGCUGUCUGUUAUUUCUGGAAAUAAGCUUUUCUCUGAUAUAUCAAAUGUAAUGUGAAAAGAAUCACUGACAACUGUCUUUUAUAAAAGUGUGUGCUAUUUAUACUUUUUUUCAAUAUUUCAUGUUUUUUUUAGUGGGUAAAGUAAUAAAAAAAAAUCUUUCUGAAAUA